AGUUCUCGUUGAUGAUCGGUGCUUGCACCGAGAUUCAACAUGGAACGAGUGGCGGACGGGUGAGUAACACGUGGGUAACCUGCCCUUAAGUGGGGGAUAACAUUUGGAAACAGAUGCUAAUACCGCAUAGAUCCAAGAACCGCAUGGUUCUUGGCUGAAAGAUGGCGUAAGCUAUCGCUUUUGGAUGGACCCGCGGCGUAUUAGCUAGUUGGUGAGGUAAUGGCUCACCAAGGCGAUGAUACGUAGCCGAACUGAGAGGUUGAUCGGCCACAUUGGGACUGAGACACGGCCCAAACUCCUACGGGAGGCAGCAGUAGGGAAUCUUCCACAAUGGACGCAAGUCUGAUGGAGCAACGCCGCGUGAGUGAAGAAGGCUUUCGGGUCGUAAAACUCUGUUGUUGGAGAAGAAUGGUCGGCAGAGU
rnacentral:rRNA from 2 species